ensembl:snRNA U1 U1 spliceosomal RNA
AUACUUACCGGGCAGGGGACCGUACCAUGUUAAAGAAGUGAGGUUCACUCCAGGGAGAGGCUCAGGCCAUCUGCACCGUCCGGUGUGCUGACCCCCUGCGAAAUUCCCCAAAUGUGCUGAAGCUCGACUGGACAUUAAUUUGGAUAGUGGGGGACCUGUUUCGCGCUCUCCCU